rnacentral:ribozyme from 1 species
GGCGGACAAGCUCCGCCGUCUUAAUGCAGCCGAAGACGGUCACAAGCCCGUAUAAAUGCAGAGUGAGAC